rnacentral:tRNA from 1 species
GCGCCCAUAGUGAAGUGGAUAUCACAAUGGUCUUCGGAACCAUUAUGGAGGGUUCGAGUCCUUCUGGGCGCACCA